AAAAAAAAAAAAAAACCUCUUUAAAUAAAGAUUAAAGUGAUUAUAGUGAAAGUAAUAAAAACAGGAAAAAAAAAUACCUUGGAUAUAAACCUAUUAAGCCACCUUUAGAAUGGUGAAUGAAAAUGACAGUAUUACAAAAAAAUGUUAGAAUUGUUGGCUUUACUUUGAAAUUAGUAUGUAAAGGAACAUUUUAUUUAUUACACUAAUGCUUCAUCCUUAAUUUUUAAAAUUAUGAGAUUUAUAUCCUCUAAGUACAGCCUGAGUACAUUUUAAUAUUUAGUUGUUAAGUUUUUUCUUAAACUACGAUUUAAAAACAAGUCAUGGCGUGCCUGGGAUUUCUCUCUCCCUCUCUGUCUGUCCCUUCCCUGCCCAUGUUCUCUCUCUCGCUCCCUCCCUCUCAAAAUAAAUAAGUAAACUUUAAAAAAAAUAAUAAAAACAAGUCAUAAUUCUUAAACUGGGUUUCAUUAUUUUGGGAACCGACAGUGUUUUCCAGUAGAACAUAUUAAAGGUUUAAAAAUGUGAGGUAAUGAAAAAAGAGUAUUCAUGUCAAAAUUUUCGCCGAGUUCCAGCAUAGGACAUAAUUGGCCAUAACUGUAAAAAAUGUUUAAAUUUUGAGGUUAUUGUAGAGUCACAUGCAGUUGUGAAAAAUAAUACAAAGAGAUCCUGUAUUUCUCUUUCCCUUGUUCUUCCUCCCCACCCUCUGGUAACAUCUUAUAAAACUAUAGCAUGAUAUCGCAACCAGGUUAUUGACAUUAAUACAGAACAGUUCCAUUUUUUAUGUGUUUGUUUAUUUUUGAGAGGGGGGAGGGGCAGAGAAAGGGAAGGAGGGAGACAGAGGAUCUGAAGCGGGCUCUGUGCUGACAGCAGAGAGCUGGAUGCGGCCUCAGACUCACGAACCAUGAGAUCAGGACCCGAGCUGAAGUUGGACGCUUAACCGACUGAGCCACCCAGGCGCCCCUAUAACAAUUCCAUUGAAACAAGCCUCCUGUGAGCUGCCCUGCUAUAGCUCCCUCCCUUUGUUGGGAACAACCUAGUUCUUCCCUACUGUUUCUUCCUUGUGAGUCUUCUUUACUCCUCGCACAGAACACUUCACUCCUGACACUUCUGGUCACCAGAUGUGUGAAAGUUUCCCCCACACUGGGCAAUUCUAUAAUUCAACUCCUAUAUCCUAUAAUUCAGCUCCUCCUGGCACUAUCUACAUGGAGACAGCAUCAGAUUCCACAGAUUAAGAGUUCAGUUCUACAAGACUGUGCCCUACCCUCCACUUCAGAGGCCAGUCGCAAGCCCUAGGCUGUUACUUGUGCUUCUGACCAACCAGCUGCGGGGGAGAGGUUCCGGUGACCUCCUCAGGUUUGAUUAAUUUGCUAGAGAGGCUCACAGAACUCAGGGAAACACUUACCUUUACCAGUUUAUUAAAAAAAUACAAUAAAGGAUAUGAAUCAAUAGCCAGAUGAAGAGAUACAUAGGGCAAAGUCCCAAACAAAGGUGCUUCUGUCUUCAUGGAGCUUGGGGCCUUUCUCCUGACCUCUAACAACUACUAAUCUAUUCUCUGUUUCUAGAAGUUGUCAUUUCAAGAAUGAAAUCGUGUAGUAUGUAAUCUUGUAGGGUAGUCUUUUUUUUCCCUGAGCACAGUUGCCUCAUGAUUCAUCGGAGUUGCAUGGAUCAAUCAUUCAUUUCUUGUUUAUCUCUGAGCUGUAUUCCAUGGUGUGGUUGUAUCACAGCUAUUUAACCAUUCACCUACUGAAGGACAUCUGGGCUAUUUCCAGCUUUUGCCUAUUAUACAAAAGCAAGCAGGACUUUUAAAAAACAUACUUAUAGUGAUGUUUAUGACUCCAUCUUAUUACAGAGUAUUUAUUGGGCUGAGGAGAGUAAGAUUAAAGGCUUAGAGUCAAUUAGGACUAAAACAAAUGUUAUGAACUAUGACAGUCUAGCUCAAAGUAGUUUGAUUUCAUUAAUGUAGUUAAAAAAUUGUUUUUAAAGUUUAUUUAUUUUUGAGACAUAGUACAAGUGGGGGAGGGACAGAGAGAGAGGGAGACACAGAAUCUGAAGCAGGCUCCAGGCUCUGAGCUGUCAACACAGAGCUCAACGCAGGGCCUGAGCUCACAAACCACAAGAUCAUGACCAGAGCCGAAGUCGGACGCUUAACUGACUGAGCCACCCAGGCACUCCUAAUGUCGUUUAUUUUUGAUAUUCAAUCAAGCUCAACUUUAGUAUUGGCCAAGGUCCAUCAAGAGAAUUUACCUAUAGUUAUGUUGUUUAGUAUAGUUACGUUGUGCCCAUGUUUUUAAUCCGAAUGAUUGCUCAGAACACACUAUAAACAAUUUACUUUUGUUAAGUGGUUGCUCACAUAUCUCAUUGUGUUUCUGGCGAUGUGAUAGCACAUGAUUGGGUUUCUUUUUUGCUGCCAACCCCAAUUGUUGGAUGUUUAAAAAACACUAACCACCCUUAUGUGCUUGGAGGUCUCUGAUGAAAAGGCUGAAUUAAAUAAACAUUCCAUAAUGAACAGAAGUGCCAGCACAGGCACAGUCUGUGAAAUGUACAGCAUAUUGACGGCCGGCCGGUUAUCAGUUGAGGGACACUCAGAAACAUGUGGUUAUAUUGGUAGGAACUGGAAGGAUCCAGUCUGCUUCCCCUUGGAUCCCACAGAGUAUAUGUGUACGUGUGUUCGUGCUCCAUGUUAGCCCUGACAGGGACAGAGAAACAGAAUAACUGGCAUCUUAUCUGCCCAGCAGGUGCUUCUGGCAAUGGUCAUUUGUGAUGUUGUUUUUAAUAGAAUUCACAAAAUUUCUCUAGGAAAAACACGUUGGAACGGACAAUAAAAUGUCAUCUGCUUCAUAACUUUUUCCUAAAAGGCUUGGAGUUUUAAAAAAGCUUUCUGCUUUGAUCUCCUAACAGUCUCUUGGAAAUAUUGUUAGUCCUCUUUGGGCCAUAUUUUACAAUUGGAGAAACUGAAAUAGAGAGACCAGAUUGGUCUAGGAAAACUUUGUGGAGAUAGGAAAGUGAGUUGACUCUUGCUUGCCCUAGAAAAUGGGGAAUUUAAAGAAGGAAAUAGUCCUGGAGGAUAAAAGUUGACAGCUUUGUUGGGGUGCCUGGGUGGCUCAGUGGGUUAAGCAUCCAACUUUUGAUUUCGACUCAGGUCGUGAUCUCAAGGUUCAUGAGAUCGGGCCCCACGUCAGGCUCUGUGCUAACAGCGUGGAGCCUGCUUAGGACUCUCUCUCUCCCUCCCAAUAAAGUUGACAGCUUUGUUAAAGAAAAAAGUGAAUGAAUUGAUGAGGCUGGAAGCUCUUUAAAGGCAAGAAUUCCCUUUCAUCUGUAUUCCCAGUACCUAGUUGGAGUCCAGCCCAAUGGAAGCAUUCAAUAAAUAUUUGUUUAACGCAUAAAUAAACGUAUGGAUGACCAAACUACAAUUUCUGAUGUUGCCAUUAAAGACACUUUUCUCAGACGGUUCCUACCCACCUUAUCCUGAUGGUGGUGUUUAAAUCAAGUGUCUAUGGCUGCAUAACAAACUUAUCCAAAACUUAGUGGCUUAUGAAAGUAGUUCUGGGGAUUCACUGGAUGCACCUGGACAGUUCCUUUGGUUGUCCUUGACAUUUCUCUUGCAGUUGGAUAGCAGCUGGGAUGGAAUUUCUGGAAUUUCCACUUGGCUACAGGGAUGUCAGGCCCCCUUUCUCUCCAGGUGGCCUCAGGGCCUUUCCUCUGUCUAUGGCCUUUCCAGCAAAGUACCUGAACAUCUAACUUGGUGGCCCAGGGCUCUCAGAAAGUCCAAGGUGGAAGCUUUCAGGUUUUUCAAAGGCUCAGGCCUGGAAACAUCAAUAAGCCACUUCCUCUGCCUUCUUUUAGUUAAACAGUCAUGGGAGCCAGCUCAGAUUUAAAAGGAGGGGUAAUAAAUCCCACCUUUUGAUGGGGCUCCACUGUGGUUUUCCAUCAAGUCUCCAACACUGGAUGUUUUACAACAUGGUUUCCAUCCAGUCGUCCGACACUGGAUGUUUUACAAUUCACUCAAUUCUAACACUAACCACCUAGAGUUAGCACAGACCCCACAGGUUAAGGGCUCAGUCCCUCAUAAGUGCCUCCCACUUCAGAUACCGGCCACAAGUGAGGGUAUUCCCAAGUCAUCCACAUUUCUGUCCAGCCAAUUGUAAAUUAGGAGGUUCCCCCAACUCUACCUCAGGUUUAGUUAUUCACUCAGAAAACUCAGGAAAAUGCUAUAUUUAAGAUAACACUUUGUUAUAAAGGACACAAAUGAACAACCAGAUGAAGUGGGGCAUGGCGGGGGGGGGGGGCAGUGCAGAAGGAUCCUGAGUGCAGGAGCCUCUGUCCCCUUGGAGUUAGGGUACACCACCCCCCAGGUACAUCAAUAUGCUCACCGAUCAGGAAGCUCCCCAAACCCCAUUGUUCAAGAGUGUUUAUGGAGGUUGUGUUGACUAGGAAUGAUUCAUUAAAUCAUUGGUCAUUGGUGGUUGAACUCCAUCCCCUCCCCCUCUCCAGAGGUAGAGGGAGGGGGUUGAAAGUUCUAGCCCUGUACUGCUGUGUGUGGCCAACCCCUGUUUUGAAACUAUCUAAGGGCCCACCUUGAGUUACCAUGAUAGCAUAAACUCAGGUAUAGUCCAGAGGGAUUCAUUAUGAAUAACAAAAAAUCACUCCUAUUAUUCAGGAAAUUUCAAGGGUUUUUAAAGCUCUGUGGCAGGAACCAGAAAUGGGGACAAAGGCAACAUGUAUUUUUAUCGUAUUAUAGGGGUAAUGACAAAGGAUUUGUGGCUACCUUUAGUCCACCAUGCUGGUCCUCCACAGACUCAAGCAGGCCUAUCACUUUACCCAAAAUAGAUGGAAUUCUAAGAGUGACUGUUUUCCUGUCAUGUACUUUGUUAAAUAAUAAAAAUUCAACCCAUACAUUUUACAGAUCUAAGUGACUUUGAUAAGCAUGAUUCACAAAUCGGGCAGCAUCCCAUCUAGCAAGUAGAGGAAAGCCCCAAGGAGUUGUACAAAAUUUAUAGGAAGGAGGGUGGGACGGUAAGUUCUUAGCGAAAGAAAAGAUUGUUUCAGGCAGGGCCACCUUCCCUGAGGGGAAAGGGCAGGGGUACUAUUAGGUGGAUCUGCCCACAUGACAGAUUCCUCACUGAUGCUGAUCAGAAAAUUCCUGACUGACCAGUUAAAACUACAUUUCUGCAGAAGGUUGAAAUGGCAGUUAGAUUAGGUAUUGAGUCCUGGUUUGGUGACCUGGCCUAUGUGAUGCCAUUUUGGGCCUGUGGUUUUCUUUUUAACAAUUCCUUUCUUUUCAUCAGACUCCCAGCUUAAUUGAGAGAUGUGAUCAAAAUUUAAGACAUUAGCUCCACUCUCAGCUACUGUUGAGAAGUUCUCAUAGUUUUUGUUGUUCUUUGGGAUCCAGAGGUCAUGAUAUUUUUGCUUAACUUCUGGGACCUUCAUAGGUCAUGGCUUUGGGUUCACAUUCUUUAAGUUGGUAAUUUUUCUUGUUCCUUUUUUGACAUUCCGUUCUUAGGGAGAUCAUUUGCUUGGUGGUUCGUGGCUACAAACAUGCAUUUAAAUGUUUGGAGAGAAUACAAUGUACCAGGGAGAUUAUUAUGAAUACUAAAAGCAAGAUAAUUCCCAGUGUUUGGAGUGCACUUCAGAGCCAUGGUCUCCAAGACCCAAACCAAUCAAAGAAAGACCCUGUUGAAGGAAUUACCCUUUCAGCCUAACUGGCUUGCUCCAUGAUUUUAUAUAAAUUAGUUUCACCUUCCCCAGAUGUGUUGCUCCAGGUAUAGCAGGUGGUAUUAACUACAGUACAGACACCUCCUUGCUCAGCUAAAAGAUACUCAAGGGCUCUCCUAUUAUCAAGAACAAUUUUUGCCAGAGAGUCUAAGGAUCUUUGUCAGGUUAUUAUUGCUUUAGCAGUGGAUUCUGCGACAAUUUCAGGAAUUAAGGAGGAAUUCCUCAUCGGGCCUUAUUUACAUUUAUUCCAAAACAAAGAAAUAGAGACCUAUCAAAAGGAGUGAAUCUUGAAUCAUGAAAGCCUCCUGGUAGGUACUUUCUAAUUCAAUAAUGUAAAUUCAGGGGAGUCAGCCAAUGAGAUGUCUUGUUUUGCUUGUGAAAAGUUAGGGCCACAGUUAGGUUUUCUUGUAGCCUGAAAUAAAAGGUUGUUCUAAAUUCUGGAAUUUGCCCCCCCCCUCCCCCCCCCACCAAGCAAGGGCCUGGGAGAUAUAGAUGGGGACAUUAUCUUUCCAGGCUAAUGCCAGAGUAAAGUAAAGGAAAAGAAAGAGAAAAGGUUUCAUGUUCAGUUAAAGUAUGAAGUCUUUAUCUGUUGUCUUGGGCAGAAGUAAUCAACCUUGAUGUCAGCUACUUAUCUUCCUCAUCAAUUUGAUUCAAAGGUCUCCAGCGUCUUCUAAUUUUGAAGAGGUGUCAGUGGUCAGGAGCACUUGAUAAGGGCCCUUCCAGUGGAGCUCCAACACUCUCUUCGUCUGAUAACAUUUCCAGAAUACCCAAUCACCAUGCUCUAGAUUGUGACCAACAAGAACCCCUGAAUUGGAAUCUGGAAAGACUUCUUUAACCUGUUGGUGACAGGCUUGAGCAUAAGAUCUCAGAGACUUAGAAUAGCUGGUCACAGUAGCAUGAGAUAACAAAGGGCAAGCAGAAGGCUGCAUAGACAUUGGUCUGCUGGUGACUCUUUCAUGUAGACCUUUUGCAGUAAGUCUUUCAAUGAAACUACUUUGGAAUCCUGAGACCUUUUGCGGGCUUCGGCUUGCCAAUUAAAGUUUCUGGCUUCCGAGGAUUCCCUUGGCAAUAACUUUUACUGCACAAAACAAGACAGACAAACAUGUGCACCUUAACAUCUCUGCAGUAAGCCAAGGGAUGUUACUGACUCCUGGCCACGAGAAGGCCCUGUGUGCACUACCACCAAUUCCUGUGGAACCAUGGACUGGGCAAGUGAUUAAACCAGCAAACCCCAAGGGAUGGGGACUGUGGACUGAUUCCAAACAAAAUGGAGAAAGACAGCUGCUGCCAGCAGUUCCCAGUGUGGAAUCCAGGGAUAGAACUAAGGUCUAGGGUUUUCCCUCUGGGGAACUGUGGUCUGAAAGGCUACAGGCUUGAGCUCUGGGAAGACCCUUCUGCCAGCUCAGUUGGGCCCCGGGCAAAACUACCCACUCAGCUGGGUUCCGGGCAGAAUUGCCUGCCCAGUUGGGCUCCGAGCAUAAUUGUCUUCCAGCUCAGGCUGACCACCCCUGUAAAGGAAAGCCAAUUAGAUGGAGACCUUGUACCCAACAGGAGUGGAGCUCAGAACUGAGAGGGGCUUCAGCCUUCGGAAACAGCGAGAAAGACAGUAAACCCAGACGGUUCAUGGGGUACCACACCUGGGUUUCCUGUCCUCGGAUGCCAUUGGAAGUUCGCUUCAGAUCCCAGCACUGCCACCAAAUCUGUUAAAUAAUAAAAAUUCAAUUACGUAA